ensembl:lncRNA
GAGGCUGUGCGGGUCCGCCCCCCCCCCCCAUCGCCGCCGCGGAGUCCGUCCCGGGGGAAUAAAGCCGAGAACUACCUCCCCCCCCGCCGCCCCCCCCCCCCGCCACCGCGGUCCCCCCGGUCCUCCCUCGAGUCUGAGUUUUUGGCCGCCAGGCCUUUGCAGACGCCGUCUCGGGAUUCGCGGCGCCAGGCUUUGGCUCGCGAAGCCAGAACCGUGGAGAGCGUAGGGACCCGGGUCCGCGGCCGCCGCACUCCCCGCUCAUCCCGCUCGUCCCGGCCUCGGGGUCCGGAGAAGCUGGGGCAACGGGGGGAGCCUGGGGAGCCCCGGGAGCCCGGGACGAGGAAGAUGAGACACACAGAGGCUGGGGGCAAGAGGGGCCAAGACCGAGGGGACAGGAGGGGAAGAGAUACGGAGGCGAGAGAGACACGGAGAAAUAACGGAGGACACAGGGAUCGGACAGGGCGCUGGAAGGGAGGGGGGAGGCUCACGGAGUUUGGCCGGAGGCCUUGCUACCCUCCCUUCCUCCCGCGGCGCCGGGUGUCCCUUCCGGUCCCUUCCCUUCCGAAGCUGCGUAGCUCCUAGACCCAGGUUUCCAGGGGCUGAGGGAGCCCGGCUCCAGAGAGUUAGGGCCGCGUAGACCUCGCGGACCUUGUCUGUGGUUCUCCCGGGCAGGGGAAGGGGAUGGAGAGCCGCGCUCCCCGGGGAGCUCUAACAUUCCAGGGCACAGAGCAGAUAGCCAAGAGGGGGACCCAGCCCGCCCAAGCCCUCCAGAUCCAGGUGGGAUCCUGGGAUCACUGCCACCUGAGAGCAAGUCCCGGCCGCCUGGGGGGGGGGGGCAUUUCACUCUCAGAACACCUGAAUAAAUGCCCCCCGCCAGCCUCUCCCCCGCCCCCCCCCCCGUGUCUGUGGCCACCACCAGCCUUGUGGCCUUGGCCUCGUCGUUUCCUCCACCCCUUCCGUCCUCCAUAAAAGAAGCGUCCUUCCAGUGCGAAGGUGACCAGAGCCGGGAGGGAACCAGACCGACCCGGAUUUGGUGGCUCAAUCUCACCCCAGAACGUUCUGGACUCGGUCAGGUACUGCGCAGAGGCACACCGCAGAGAGCUCCCGGACCUACUGCGCCGCACCUGACGCUGCGCGGUCCCCCAGGCGCCCCGCCCCCGCCCAGGUCCUCCGGACGGAGGGCCUCCUGCUCCUGGAGGCGCCGGGGCUCUGGGGGGACGGAGGAGCCCAAGCCGCCAAAGGUUCGUGGAAUAUAAUGGAUCAUUUUCCAAUUUACCAGGGUCUUAGAGAUUACGCCGCUAAUCCCAUCAAAGACCAUCUGCUUACAUUGUCCCUCCUGAGCCAAAAAUAAAUAGAUCCUUUACUGCCUCCA